AUGACACAAAUCUUAAAUAUGUAUAUUUAUUUUACAGUUGCAAACAAACAGACCCCCAUCACUGCCACAAAUCCCACUCUCUCCACCCUCAGUUCAGCAGAGAAGCCUUAUUUUACCACCAUGGGAAAAACAAUGGACACGUCUACGACUCUCGGACCCAAUAAUGGUGAAAGCCUAUCUUCUAAAGCUGUGGGAGGAAUAGCUGCAGGAACAGUAUUACUGCUGAUUGUUGUCGCUGGGUCAGCGGCAGGAAUAUUUAUCUUGUGUAGACGACAAGAUGUCAGCAGCACAGCGGUGGAGAUGAGACAGCCCCCCGGCUCGGAUCAACCCCUGUUAGACACACACACUGCAACCUUACUUACCAGCUGCCCAGACUCUGCCCAAAAUCCCAAAACAGACCCAUUAAUUGUUGUUCAGCAGGCAUAAUCCGUUGGACGUCUUUUUUUUUUUUUGUGAAUGCUUUUGCCAUGUAUAUGUGUGUGUGUGUGUAUAUAUAUAUGUAUAUGUCUGUAUGUAUAUACAAAAAUACAGUUGUAUGUUUUUCAUAAACAUAAAACUAAAUAAUAAAGUUAAGUUCUUGUAAAGUUCA
rnacentral:lncRNA from 1 species